AUACUUACCUGGCGGCAGAGAUACCGUGUUCUUGGCCUUGAAUGACUCAAGUGUAGUUAGGGGGUAAAGGCCUAUCCCUUGCACUGUGGGCAGGCUGGCCCCUACAAGAGUCCAGGCUGACCCCUACAAUGCCUCCAAAUGCGAGGAUCUUGGCUACACAAUUUAUGAUGAUCAGGGAUUGCUCUUGGGCUUUCCCUCU
rnacentral:snRNA from 14 species